rnacentral:rRNA from 1 species
GGGAUAACACCUGGAAACAGAUGCUAAUACCGGAUAACAACACUAGACGCAUGUCUAGAGUUUGAAAGAUGGUUCUGCUAUCACUCUUGGAUGGACCUGCGGUGCAUUAGCUAGUUGGUAAGGUAACGGCUUACCAAGGCAAUGAUGCAUAGCCGAGUUGAGAGACUGAUCGGCCACAUUGGGACUGAGACACGGCCCAAACUCCUACGGGAGGCAGCAGUAGGGAAUCUUCCACAAUGGACGAAAGUCUGAUGGAGCAACGCCGCGUGAGUGAAGAAGGGUUUCGGCUCGUAAAGCUCUGUUGGUAGUGAAGAAAGAUAGAGGUAGUAACUGGCCUUUAUUUGACGGUAAUUACUUAGAAAGUCACGGCUAACUACGUGCCAGCAGCCGCGGUAAUACGUAGGUGGCAAGCGUUGUCCGGAUUUAUUGGGCGUAAAGCGAGUGCAGGCGGUUCAAUAAGUCUGAUGUGAAAGCCUUCGGCUCAACCGGAGAAUUGCAUCAGAAACUGUUGAACUUGAGUGCAGAAGAGGAGAGUGGAACUCCAUGUGUAGCGGUGGAAUGCGUAGAUAUAUGGAAGAACACCAGUGGCGAAGGCGGCUCUCUGGUCUGCAACUGACGCUGAGGCUCGAAAGCAUGGGUAGCGAACAGGAUUAGAUACCCUGGUAGACCAUGCCGUAAACGAUGAGUGCUAAGUGUUGGGA